rnacentral:rRNA from 1 species
UACGUAGGGUGCGAGCGUUGUCCGGAAUUACUGGGCGUAAAGCGUGCGCAGGCGGUUUUGUAAGUCUGAUGUGAAAUCCCCGGGCUCAACCUGGGAAUUGCAUUGGAGACUGCAAGGCUAGAAUCUGGCAGAGGGGGGGUAGAAUUCCACGUGUAGCAGUGAAAUGCGUAGAGAUGUGGAGGAACACCGAUGGCGAAAGGCAGCCCCCUGGGUCAAGAUUGACGCUCAUG